rnacentral:rRNA from 1 species
AGCGAACGUUAGCGGCGGGCCUAACACAUGCAAGUCGAGCGAGAAAGGGGCUUCGGCCCCGAGUAAAGCGGCGGACGGGUGAGGAACACGUAGGUAACCUGCCCUUCGGUGGAGGACAACGGUCCGAAAGGACCGCUAAUACUGCAUCCGUUCCCCGGGACCCCGGUCCUGGGGAGGAAAGCCUCGCAAGGGGCGCCGGAGGAGGGGCCUGCGUCGCAUCAGCUAGUUGGUGGGGUAACGGCCUACCAAGGCGAAGACGCGUAGCUGGUCUGAGAGGAUGAUCAGCCACACUGGGACUGAGACACGGCCCAGACUCCUACGGGAGGCAGCAGUGGGGAAUAUUGGACAAUGGGCGAAAGCCUGAUCCAGCCACGCCGCGUGAGUGAUGAAGGCCUUCGGGUCGUAAAGCUCUGUGGGGAGGGACGAAUUGCCCGUUGAAGAGACGGGAGUGACGGUACCUCCUUAGCAAGCACCGGCUAACUUCGUGCCAGCCGCCGCCGGUAAAAC